rnacentral:lncRNA from 1 species
CUGCGGGGACACGGCUGAGGGGCCACGGCCGCAGGAAGCGGGGCUGAGGGGCCCGGCCUCAGGGACGCGGCCGCAGGAAGCGGGGCUGCGGGGACACGGCCGCACGUGACGCGCCCACGUCCGCCUCCGCCGGAAAGGAGCCCGCAGCUCUGCGCGGCUGAUGAGGACCAGCCCCUCUUGGUUGUUGCAGCUCUACCGGCUCUCAGCCAGCAGGGACCAGAAAAGCUGGGGUCCAACAGUGGCAUGGAUCCCUGAGCACAAGACAAGGCAGCCUGAGCAUGUAAGAAGUCCAGUUUGCUUCUCAACGUGAGUAGAUGAGGUUUGGGUGGGAAAGUAAUGGGAAUGCUAAAUGUUUGCUGCUGACAUUUACAAAAAAGACAGCAAAUCCCGUCUGUAUUAAUGUUUAGGUUUUGAGACGCAGCAGAAUUUUACUUUGUUAAAGAAGGUUAAGGAAACCUAGAAGUAGCUCUUUAAUCUUCAACUGGAAAAUACAAUUUUGAAAUCCAUUCUCUUAGGAGUGAAAUAAUCAGAGUGAUAAUGGAUGUUAAACCUACUCUGAAUGUUAUUUAAAGGAUUUCUCAGAUGGAAACAAAAGUUGAUAGGAUGGUGUCAGGCUCAAAUGAACAUCACCUUUACUUACACAGUUGUCCACAUAAAGAAGAGAGGUUGAUCAGCAUGUAUUUUCUGGUUAAGUGAUUGUUUAGAAAUUAUCAAAAGUCAUUAUGUGAUUCUUAAAUACUUCCAUUUGCUCUUUGUUCCAACAAAAGGCUGUUGGAACCAUAUCCACGUGUUUUUACAAGCACGGCUCUAUGCAUGAGGACUUCACCACAAAGAGUUUCCAGUGAAAGGAAAGAUUGCAGGAGUCUUCAGCAUUGAGGAGAAAAAAAUUGUUAGUCUUUCCCCUCCUACUGCUGACCUGUUCCUCUUGGCACAUUUUUGAUCUCCCUUGGUCAGUCUGUGCCUGAUACCGUGUAUACGUGUCCUGUUCCCCACACUGUAAUGCUCUCCUGUUUUUCCCAAAUGUUGUUACAUUUCCUUUCUCCUCCUCUAUUUUUCAGUUCUCUUUCCCAUUUGUAAUGCAUCAGCUGUCUUUGUUGUUUUUCACUUCUAAUUUAAU